ACCGCCCUCUAAGGCUCGGCUGCCUGCGACCGGAAGAGAGCGAGGCCGAGAUAUGUUGUAUUUAUAUGAAUGGUAAAUUACCAUAUAUCUCAUCGUAUAUCUUGCCUUUUAAAUUUUAACUAUAUAUCUCAGAGAUGAUUCCACUUACAGCUGCCUCAUUCUUCUAAAUGGAACAUUGUAUUCUAUCUUUACUUAAUCACAUCUUAUAACUGAUAAUUCUACCUUUUUGCAAUGGAGUGAAAU
rnacentral:lncRNA from 1 species